GGAGGAGGGGACGGAACUGCGGUGGGGAGGGGAGAGAAAGAAAAUAUUUCAGCUGUGAAAAGGCUUUAAUUUGCUCACUAGUUCCCCUUCUACGAAGAAUAGAAAAAGCAAGACCUACUUCAGGCAAAUUUAUGAUUCUAACUUUUGGCAAAUGGAGCCACUUCCAUUAAUCUUCCUGUGCAUUUGAACCUUAGCAGGACUCUAUAUAGCAGUCAGCGGCAUGGAUAACGACCCUUCUGCCUGCAAACUCGCUUUUAGAUGAGAACACAAGCUCCUAAGCCGUUAAGGGCGGUGCUACACACAGGCAUUUUGUAAAGUUGCAACAGCUAACUUGAUCUGAGUGAUAAAUCCGACCUUGGGGAGAAGACUGAGAAAAUGGGAGUGAACUUAGAUCUCUGUCUACUGUGUGGGUUAUGGAGCUCAAGCUCGGCAGCAUGUGACUUUAACUGCCAGCCCCUGAGGAGGAAGAAGCUUCUGCCCGAUUCUCUUUUGCCAUUGGGUGCCCAGCUGUCGGAUGCUCAGCCAUUGGGUGAUCAGCAUUUGUUGAUAAGGCAGAGAACAAAUGGUACUAAUUUCCUCAUGUUAUUUUCCUGACUGAAGAUCAGCUAUGAGAUCACCUGUCUAUCCCCUAAGACUUCCUGAUAUUUUCUGUGUUGACAUAGUGUGCAUUCUAGUUAAGAUGUGUACCUUAAGAUAGAACGUUGCUUUUAUCUCUGAGGUAUGUAGAAAAGAGCAAUUGUUUCAGACGUAUCUCUUGAGCCCAAUAAACUAGUUGAAGAAAAGGGA
rnacentral:lncRNA from 1 species